rfam:Cajanus cajan chromosome 2, whole genome shotgun sequence.
AUUUGCCAUCCCUAGCACUAAUGCACCUGAUCCCAUCAGAACUCCGCAGUUAAGCGUGCUUCAGUGAGAUUAGUACUAGGAUGUGUGACCUCCUAGGAAGUCCGCGUGUUGCACCUC